UUCCCUUCGGGCGAUGCCUGCUGCGCCUGGUGCACCCUGCACCUGAGGCGUGCCUUUGAUAACAGUGCUUGAAUUUAGGUGGAAGUGGAAUCCAAUUUUAAGUAUACAAAAGCAAAAUCGAAUGGAAUUCUUGGAAUGAGUCUAGAUGACAUAUAUUUCCAAUUCCAAGGCAAACUAAUCAUACCCCAAGUCUGCUUGAACUAAUUCUCUAAUAGGGAUGUGAAUAACAUAAUAUACAUAGAAGUAAUUGUAAAAUCAUAUAGAAGUAUAGGGACUGUUCAAGUAAACAUAUGGUGGUUGUGUACAAGAGUCUUAAAUUUUCUUGUUCUGUUGGACUACUUUUCAUUGUGAUUUUGAAAAGAAGAAAACUAGAAGAGCAUGUGAUAUGUUUGAGGUUAUAUGUAGUGACACCUCAAAGAAUACUUAAUUUUUUUGGUCAAAUUCUUACGUCUUCAUAUUUAUUGAAAUCUGGUAGGUGGAGUAAAGAAGGAAGAGAGAGAAGAAAGGGCAGGUUCUACUUAUAUGUCAAUGACAUAGAAUAGGGAAAAUUUACUAUUUUACAACAUAUAUUAAGUAAUAACCUAACCAGUUCAACCUAGUUCUUAGCAGUCCUUCAGCCAGAGAGCAAGUAUCUAUUUUGCUACCUCGUUACACAUGCAAAACAAUUGACUUUUCCUUCAAACUUUGUUGGACGUGUCUCCCAAUGAUCUCCAAAUUUAACAUAGAAAUAAUUUGAAGAGUUCAUGUGGCUUGUCACCAGUGCGUGCCUGUUAUAUAUGAACACACUAUGAAUUUAGUUCAAAACUUGUUGAAAUAUGGAAUAAUUCACUAAUUUUGGUUUGUGUGCAAUGCUAAGUGUUGUACUUUGGGGGUUUCAAGGUUAGUUUGGCCACUUUGAGUUUCAACUUGAUUUGAGUUUUGAUAUUGGAAAUAAUUUUGGGAGAAAUCAAUUCCAUAUAGGCGUGGACAACUAGAAUAUAUGACAGACAUGAUAAAUUCUGGAAAAUAAAUAGGACAGGGAUGGUAUAGGCACACAUUGUUAGUGAAUAUCAAUCUUUAUCCUCAUUCAAGACCUUUUUUAACUUUAAUUCUAUCUUGUAAGCUUAUUCCUUUGUCAAACCCCUCACAAAGGGGAUUACAUGAGAGAAUCAGUAAAAUGAUGCAAAAAUAAAAAUGGAAUUGGAAGUUGUCUUUGCGUGGGGCAACUGAGGAACAACAUGUAUGGGAUUCAAGAAUUUUUUUUUUUUUUAAUGAGAAUUUUUUUAGGUUUAUAUUGGUUAGAGUUGGCAUGAGGUGCUUAAUAUGAUGGCUCUGAACACAUUUACUUGUGGUAAUGAAGGCAAUAGGAGCCUUUCUGCUCAUUAAUGCUGCAGUGCUUUCAGGCUAUGUUUAGAUAGAAUCAAUGGUUGCUUCCUUGCUAUGAAUCCUGUGAUAAAGAAAAAAAAAUACCCAUCAGUUGUCCAAGGGAGAGACACUAAAUGGCCUUUGGAGGUAUAACAGCUAGGGUUUGGCAGUUGGUAUCUAACAUAACAAUACGUAUAAAAUUGAUAAAACGACUGAUGUAUGCAAUAUUCUGACUAUCAUAUUUGAAGUUAAGCAAAUUCUUCUUGCGGUAGAUGUAAACAUCAAAUUUGUUCAUGGUUUACAGGGUUAGCAGGAUGGUAACAAAAG
rnacentral:misc_RNA from 1 species